AACGAACGCUGGCGGCAUGCCUAACACAUGCAAGUCGAACGCCUGUAGCAAUACAGGAGUGGCAGACGGGUGCAUAACACGUGGGAACCUACCCUUGGGUUCGGAAUAACCGCGGGAAACUGCGGCUAAUACCGGAUACGUCCUCUGGGAGAAAGAUUCAUCGCCCUUGGAGGGGCCCGCGUCGGAUUAGCUAGUUGGUGAGGUAACGGCUCACCAAGGCGACGAUCCGUAGCUGAUCUGAGAGGAUGAUCAGCCACACUGGAACUGAGACACGGUCCAGACUCCUACGGGAGGCAGCAGUGGGGAAUAUUGGACAAUGGGGGCAACCCUGAUCCAGCAAUGCCGCGUGGGUGAUGAAGGCCUUCGGGUUGUAAAGCCCUUUUGGCAGGGACGAUGAUGACGGUACCUGCAGAAUAAGCCCCGGCUAACUUCGUGCCAGCCGCCGCAGUAA
rnacentral:rRNA from 1 species